rnacentral:rRNA from 1 species
UCGGAGAAGGCUAGGCCAGCUUGGCGUUGGUUGUCCAAGUUUAAGGUGGUAGGCUGAAAUCUUAGGUAAAUCCGGGGUUUCAAGGCCGAGAGCUGAUGACGAGUCGUCUUUUAGAUGACGAAGUGGUUGAUGCCAUGCUUCCAAGAAAAGCUUCUAAGCUUCAGGUAACCAGGAACCGUACCCCAAACCGACACAGGUGGUCGGGUAGAGAAUACCAAGGCGCUUGAGAGAACUCGGGUGAAGGAACUAGGCAAAAUGGCACCGUAACUUCGGGAGAAGGUGCGCCGGCUAGGGUGAAGGAUUUACUCCGUAAGCUCUGGCUGGUCGAAGAUACCAGGCCGCUGCGACUGUUUAUUAAAAACACAGCACUCUGCAAACACGAAAGUGGACGUAUAGGGUGUGACGCCUCCCCGGUGCCGGAAGGUUAAUUGAUGGGGUUAGCGCAAGCGAAGCUCUUGAUCGAAGCCCCGGUAAACGGCGGCCGUAACAAUAACGGUCCUAAGGUAGCGAAAUUCCUUGUCGGGUAAGUUCCGACCUGCACGAAUGGCGUAACGAUGGCGGCGCUGUCUCCACCCGAGACUCAGUGAAAUUGAAAUCGCUGUGAAGAUGCAGUGUAUCCGCGGCUAGACGGAAAGACCCCGUGAACCUUUACUGUAGCUUUGCACUGGACUUUGAGCCUGCUUGUGUAGGAUAGGUGGGAGGCUUUGAAGCGUGGACGCCAGUUCGCGUGGAGCCAUCCUUGAAAUACCACCCUGGCAUGCUUGAGGUUCUAACUCUGGUCCGUAAUCCGGAUCGAGGACAGUGUAUGGUGGGCAGUUUGACUGGGGCGGUCUCCUCCUAAAGAGUAACGGAGGAGUACGAAGGUGCGCUCAGACCGGUCGGAAUUCGGUCGCAGAGUAUAAAGGCAAAAGCGCGCUUGACUGCGAGACAGACACGUCGAGCAGGUACGAAAGUAGGUCUUAGUGAUCCGGUGGUUCUGUAUGGAAGGGCCAUCGCUCAACGGAUAAAAGGUACUCCGGGAUAACAGGCUGAUACCGCCCAAGAGUUCAUAUCGACGGCGGUGUUUGGCACCUCGAUGUCGGCUCAUCACAUCCUGGGGCUGAAGCCGGUCCCAAGGGUAUGGCUGUUCGCCAUUUAAAGUGGUACGCGAGCUGGGUUUAGAACGUCGUGAGACAGUUCGGUCCCUAUCUGCCGUGGACGUUUGAGAUUUGAGAGGGGCUGCUCCUAGUACGAGAGGACCGGAGUGGACGAACCUCUGGUGUUCCGGUUGUCACGCCAGUGGCAUUGCCGGGUAGCUAUGUUCGGAAAAGAUAACCGCUGAAAGCAUCUAAGCGGGAAACUUGCCUCAAGAUGAGAUCUCACUGGGAACUUGAUUCCCCUGAAGGGCCGUCGAAGACUACGACGUUGAUAGGCUGGGUGUGUAAGCGUUGUGAGGCGUU